ACGUAAUAGAUACCCAGGUAGUCCACGCCCUAAACGAUGUCUACUAGUUGUCGGGUCUUAAUUGACUUGGUAAACGCAGCUAAACGCGUGAAGUAGACCGCCUGGGGAGUACGGUCGCAAGAUUAAAACUCAAAGGAAUUGACGGGGACCCGCACAAGCGGUGGAUGAUGUGGAUUAAUUCGAUGCAACGCGAAAAACCUUACCUACCCUUGACAUGGAUGGAAUCCCUGAGAGAUCGGGGAGUGCUCGAAAGAGAACCAUUACACAGGUGCUGCAUGGCUGUCGUCAGCUCGUGUCGUGAGAUGUUGGGUUAAGUCCCGCAACGAGCGCAACCCUUGUCAUUAGUUGCUACGAAAGGGCACUCUAAUGAGACUGCCGGUGACAAACCGGAGGAAGGUGGGGAUGACGUCAAGUCCUCAUGGCCCUUAUGGGUAGGGCUUCACACGUCAUACAAUGGUACAUACAGAGGGCCGCCAACCCGCGAGGGGAGCUAAUCCCAGAAAGUGUAUCGUAGUCCGGAUUGUAGUCUGCAACUCG
rnacentral:rRNA from 1 species